AGUGAACGCUGGCGGUAGGCCUAACACAUGCAAGUCGAACGGCAGCACAGUAAGAGCUUGCUCUUACGGGUGGCGAGUGGCGGACGGGUGAGGAAUACAUCGGAAUCUACUUUUUCGUGGGGGAUAACGUAGGGAAACUUACGCUAAUACCGCAUACGACCUACGGGUGAAAGCAGGGGAUCUUCGGACCUUGCGCGAUUGAAUGAGCCGAUGUCGGAUUAGCUAGUUGGCGGGGUAAGGGCCCACCAAGGCGACGAUCCGUAGCUGGUCUGAGAGGAUGAUCAGCCACACUGGAACUGAGACACGGUCCAGACUCCUACGGGAGGCAGCAGUGGGGAAUAUUGGACAAUGGGCGCAAGCCUGAUCCAGCCAUACCGCGUGGGUGAAGAAGGCCUUCGGGUUGUAAAGCCCUUUUGUUGGGAAAGAAAAGCAGCAGGUUAAUACCCCGCUGUUCUGACGGUACCCAAAGAAUAAGCACCGGCCAACUUCGUG
rnacentral:rRNA from 1 species